rnacentral:rRNA from 1 species
CCUACGGGGGGCAGCAGUGAGGAAUAUUGGUCAAUGGCCGGAAGGCUGAACCAGCCAUGCCGCGUGAAGGUCAGUGCCCUAUGGGCGUUAAACUUCUUUUGUGCGGGAGCAAUAAUGGUCACGUGUGGCCAGACGAGAGUACCGUACGAAUAUGCAUCCGCUAACUCCGUGCCAGCAGCCGCGGUAAUACGGGGGAUGCAAGCGUUAUCCGGAUUUAUAGGGUGUAAAGGGUGCGUAGGCUGUGAGGUAAGUCAGCGGGGAAAUGCCCCCGCUCAACGGGGUGAAGUGCCAUUGAUACUGGCUUGCUGGAAUGCGGAUGCGGUGGGAGGAAUGUGUGGUGGAGCGGUGAAAUGCAUAGAUAUCACACAGAACACCGAUUGCGAAGGCAUCUCACGAAUCCGCGAUUGACGCUGAUGCACGAAAGCGUGGGUAUCAAACAGGAUUAGAUACCCGAGUAGUC